rnacentral:rRNA from 1 species
UACGAAGGUCCCAAGCGUUGUCCGGAAUUAUUGGGCGUAAAGAGCUUGUAGGCGGUUUGUCGCGUCUGCUGUGAAAUUUCGGGGCUCAACCCCGAACUUGCAGUGGGUACGGGCAGACUAGAGUGUGGUAGGGGAGACUGGAAUUCCUGGUGUAGCGGUGAAAUGCGCAGAUAUCAGGAGGAACACCGAUGGCGAAGGCAGGUCUCUGGGCCAUAACUGACGCUGAGAAGCGAAAGCAUGGGGAGCGAACAGG